AUACUUACCUGGCAGGGAGAUACCAUGAUCAUGAAGGUGGUUCGUUCCAGGCCAGGCCAGCCAGCAUUGCACUCGGCCAGCUGACCUGCCAAUCUCCCAAAUGUGGAACUUUAAUGCAUAAUUUGUGGCAGUGGGGAUCAGCGCCCGCGCCUCCUCUGA